ensembl:lncRNA
UAAAAUGGCUCAGAAGGUUCGUUUGAAAAUCAGAAGAGCAUGGUGUCUUUCCACUGUCACCACGUCCAUAUAAUAAACUCCACAGGCAUGAAAACUGAGAAUUCAGUAGACUAGACAUGGCUGUCGCUCACGGUGAAAGAAUUUUGUCAAUACGACAUGUACUUUUCAUUUGGGAAGAAUUUGUUUGGGCCUGACUUUUCUGUUCAUUUUAAGCAGCAAAAGUGAGGCGCAUGUCUGUGUACGUGUGUAUGGAGCCAUUGGGCAUUUAAACUUUUUAAACUGUGUGGAUCAAAGUGGAGGGAUCACAUUUGAGUCAUUCAGUGAUUCAAAGAAUAUGACCUUUUAAUAUUCAUUCAGAUGUUUUCUGACUCUAAAUGUUCUUUUCUCAUUUCUUAGGGUUUUCUAAUUUACAUUUAAAACAUUUUCAGUUUUUUUCCAACUCCUUCUUCUGUGUAACCUUCAGCUUUUAGCAGUUCAGCACCUUUGUUUUCAGGUUAAAUUCGUUUUUUUUUUUUGUUUUUUUUUAAUCUCAUUCAAUAUUUUUAACUCAAAAUUCAGCAAUUAAUUCAUUUCAGUGCAUACAUUCAGAUUCAAGCAUUCACACUGCAGUUUCUUCAGAAAAUGCACUUUCUAGUUAUUAUAUUUUAUCUAUUCCGUACGUUUUUUGAAAGCCUACUCCUUCAAAACCGUUCAACUUAGAAAAACCAUUCAAACACCAUUAGAUUCCUAUUCUUUUGGACACUGUUGCUUGUAUUUUUCUCAUUUUUAACAUUUAUAUUUUUAAUUUUAUUCAACUUUAUUCAACAAAAAUUUCCCAUGUAUUUCAAUGGGGAGACCCUUCAAAUUCUCAUUCAACUUACUCAUUUUUAAACUCUUACUACUUCAACAUACGUUCACAUAGAGCCACCAUUCAAACUUUAAAACGAAGACAAGACAUUCAACUAUUCAACUUGUAUUUAUCUUUUCAAUAUCUAUUAUACUUUUUCUUCAGUUCCAGUUUAAGUUUCAUGAUGUUUUUUCACCCGUUUCAGAGUUUAUAAUGGGUGUGUAUGGGACGGAAUGUUGGGGCUAGAGUGAGACAGCUCAACUGCUAGAGUGAGAGGAGCAAAAAAAA